rnacentral:lncRNA from 1 species
GUAAGGAGGAAGCGGCGCGCAUGCGUAUUUCAGACGGAGUGCCGGGGAGGGGAGGCGCUCAGCAUUCGGGUAAUUAAGGUUGCAAAAUGGCGAGGGGGGAGGUAAGCUGUCUUUGCUUGGCCAUCUUGGGCUAGCAGGCCUUGCAGAGAACUACCUUUUUAGCUGAGUGAAGGGAUCAACCUGAGUUGGAGUUCUCCUAUGCUGUGGCCAGAUCCACUAGAAAUUAACCCAGAAUCUUAGCCUCUCAGUGGCCUAUCGGUGAUGCCACACUCAAUCAGAAACUAUGCUACUGCUGAAGAGGUAUAUUGAGCCCUGCCUGGUUAACCUCCAGUGAGGUUAUUAGAGAAUUGGGAGAGGCUCAAAUCAGCAUCCUGCACCUAGUUAUCAAACCAUUGUGAAGUCUUGAUUCCUGGAUGGCCAGAAAACUUGUCAUUGGUCAAGAGCAACAUUAAGAUCUGCCUGUUACUCAUACUGAUGCUUCCUGCCCAGCAAGUUCAUCAGAGGGCGAGGAUGAAUUACGGUUGCCAUGAAUGUCCUUGUGAGGCAGUUGGGAAGCCUUGGCUGGAUUGUGAAGGAUAUUUGAAAAGUAUUUUAGAGUCCACCAGAUCAUCCAUGUGAGUGACCAUGCAGCAAAAGAAGGAGGGUCCUCUCAGUGAUUAAGGUAACAUAGUGAUUAAGGAUUAUGAAGUAUUAAUUCUUCCACUGAUAUCUCAAAAGGUGAUCUGGACAAAGGAACAGGUAUCUCAGCUUCCAAGUUUGCUGGAGCCAUGUUUUCUCUAAUGUCCCCACAGAACAGUGGUUGGUAGGAUGGCG